UAGGCACACUUAAAGUUAUAGCUACAUCAGUUAUAACUACAUCAGUUAAAACUUUAAGUGUGCCUAGG
ensembl:miRNA